AGAGAGAGACAUGCGCGCAUAUCAAUAAGCGGAGGAAAAGAAACUAACAAGGAUUCCCUUAGUAACGGCGAGUGAAGCGGGAAGAGCUCAAAUUUGAAAUCUUCAAGGUUCUACCUUGACGAAUUGUAGUUUAUAGAAGUGUUUUCUGUUAGUGGAGUGGCAAAAGUUCUUUGGAAUAGGACGUCAUAGAGGGUGAGAAUCCCGUAUUUGGUCAUUCCUCCUAGCGUUGUGAUACACUUUCAACGAGUCGGAUUGUUUGGGAAUGCAGUCCAAAAUGGGUGGUAAAUUUCAUCUAAAGCUAAAUAUUGGCGAGAGACCGAUAGCGAACAAGUACCGUGAGGGAAAGAUGAAAAGAACUUUGAAAAGAGAGUUAAACAGUACGUGAAAUUGUCAAAAGGGAAGCGUUUGACACCAGUGUUGUUUUUCCGAAAAUCAAUUACGAAUGUUUUGUUUUUAAGAAGUUAUGACUUCAUCGGCUUGCUUCUUUCUUUACGAAACUUUCUUAAUGCACUUUUCGGUUAACAAGUCAACAUCAAUUUCUUUUGUUGUAAAAGGGUAUGAGGAAGGUGGCUUUCUUUUCGGAGAAAGUGUUUAUAGCCUUGUGCCUCUGCAAUCGGAGAGAUUGAGGUCUGCAGCGUAGAUCCUUCGGGGUUAGAUACGUUUGUGCUAAGUUAUAGCUUUUCAUAGACAACUUGUUGACUAUGUUUAGUCUUGUAGCUUACUCGCUGACGCUAUUUUACCUACGCUUAGGAUGUUGAUAGUCACAGCGUGUAC
rnacentral:rRNA from 1 species